ACUUGAUUUGGGUUUUAUGAUUAUCACCAAAGUUUUAUCAUUAUGCUAAAUUUUGUAAAAUUUUAAUUAUCUAUAAAUUGACUUUCAUCGGUGAUAAACAAGAGUGCUAAUUGUUUUAUAGUGUUCAAUGUGAUAUUUUGCAAAGGAUCAAAAGGUGACCAGAGACCAGUAAAUUAGAUGACCUUGACCUAACACGAGACGAGCUACACAAGAAAGAGAUUCUCAAGAAACUCAUGUCUGAGUUGGAGACCUUAAUCAUCUCAUUUCUGCAACCCUGAUAGAUGCAGUUCUUGGAGACCUUAAUCAACUUGAGCAUAGGGAGAGGAACAGGAGGAAGCUAGUUAGGCUUCAAGAAGUUCGUCUCUUUCCUUCACCUCUUAAAGUUGCUUGCUUUUACUAUUUUAAGCUAGCUGGCCUCAAGAAGUUUGUCUCUAUCUUUGUUAGUUUUAUUUUGUUUUAAUACUUGGCAGCACUUACGAUAUUAGUAUAGGAUUUGUAUUGGUAUGAUGUUAUAGUAUAGGAUUUGUAUUGGUAUGAUGUUAUGUAAGACUUGUUUUGGUUAGUGUAAUAUUUAUAUUAUGUAUGUUGAUGA